GGGGCGGUAGCUCAGCCGGUCAGAGCAGAGGACUCAUAAUCCUUUGGUCCUGGGUUCAAGUCCCAGUCGCCCUACCC
rnacentral:tRNA from 1 species